UUAUCGGUUUCUCUCUAAACCACCACAUUAUUUGAAUAAAGUUCAGU
rfam:Cephalotus follicularis DNA, scaffold: scaffold5776, isolate: St1.